rnacentral:rRNA from 1 species
UACGGGGGGGGCAAGCGUUGUUCGGAAUUACUGGGCGUAAAGGGUUUGUAGGUGGCCUGCUAAGUCAGACGUGAAAUCCCUCAGCUUAACUGGGGAACUGCGUCUGAGACUGGUAGGCUCGAGGACAGGAGAGGAACGCGGAAUUCCAGGUGUAGCGGUGAAAUGCGUAGAUAUCUGGAGGAACACCGGUGGCGAAGGCGGCGUUCUGGACUGUUUCUGACACUGAAAAACGAAAGCCAGGGGAGCAAACGGG